rnacentral:lncRNA from 10 species
UCUCAAACUCCUGACCUCGUGAUCUGCCCUCCUUGGCCUUCCAAAGUGCUGGGAUUACAGGCGUGAUGGAGAUGAUACUCCCUAAAUCACAAGGGUGUGGUGUGAAGAUGAAAUGGCUGCACGUGACAGAGGAGUUGGAGAACAGGAAGCAAGUGGAUUACUUGGAUGAACUGUGAUGGGCCCAAGAAGAACUAAGCCAAUCACUCCAGGGGGCGUUUUCCCAGGAUCCAGGCAGAGAGCUGAUUCCAGCAUCCACGUUGUAUCCCCCUCCCGCUGUGGCCGGGGUCUCCAAGAGCCGGGCACCCACUGCAGAGCUUCCAAGCCCAGGCCCAUUUGAACACAGGAGGACUUUUGAGGUUCAUUUAACCCCAAAAUCAGUGAUUCUACAUCUCAAGCUCAUAUUUUGAAGUGUUUACGGCUGCCUUUGUGAUCCCGCGCCCCGGUCCUCGGCCUCUCACCUCCAGCGCCGGGGCGCCCCCUGCUGUCGGAAGCGGCUGUGACCGGGCAGAGGUGCUAUCUGGGACUCUGGGUUCUCAGCCCGGGGACAGCGAACCGAGGGGCAGAUGAUCCAUCAGAAAAGAGCCGGCACUGCCCAGCCCCGCGCCCCUGCCCCUGCCUUUUUCCGGGAGCGCGCCGCGCCGCACCCGCUACGGCCGCUUGACCCCAUCUUUGAGCCCGGCCCCAAGCUCUGGGACCGUCGUGCCCCUCAUCAAGGAAGAGCCAAGGACCCCAAGGAGAAGAGAAAGGAGUUCAUGAAGGCAGAAAUGCCUGGGGCCCACGAACAUCCCAGUGUGGCCCUGGACGGGACAUCAUGCUGGGCAACACAGCUAAAAUGCGGGUGAAGACCAGAUUUCUUGCACAUGGCGGUGACGGGAUGCUCCCUAGAGAGCUUCAAGUGGAUUCUUUGCUUUUUAUUUUCUCUCUUAAUAAAAAUGUAUGAUGUUUA